rnacentral:rRNA from 1 species
AGCGAACGCUGGCGGCAGGCUUAACACAUGCAAGUCGAGCGGGCGUAGCAAUACGUCAGCGGCAGACGGGUGAGUAACGCGUGGGAACAUACCUUUUGGUUCGGAACAACACAGGGAAACUUGUGCUAAUACCGGAUAAGCCCUUACGGGGAAAGAUUUAUCGCCGAAAGAUUGGCCCGCGUCUGAUUAGCUUGUUGGUGAGGUAACGGCUCACCAAGGCGACGAUCAGUAGCNGGUCUGAGAGGAUGAUCAGCCACAUUGGGACUGAGACACUGCCCAAACUCCUACGGGAGGCAGCAGUGGGGAAUAUUGGACAAUGGGCGCAAGCCUGAUCCAGCCAUGCCGCGUGAGUGAUGAAGGCCCUAGGGCUGUAAAGCUCUUUUACCCGGGAAGAUAAUGACUGUACCGGGAGAAUAAGCCCCGGCUAACUUCGUGCCAGCAGCCGCAGUAAC